rnacentral:tRNA from 1 species
GCAGCUGUGGCCCAUUGGUUACCGCUUCAGACUUGUAACCGGAGGGUUGCCGGUUCAAACCCUGACCACUAGGA